UUUAUAAGAGACAGCAGCGCCGCGGUAAUACAGAGGGUGCGAGCGUUAAUCGGAAUUACUGGGCGUAAAGCGCGCGUAGGUGGUUCAUUAAGUUGGAUGUGAAAGCCCUGGGCUCAACCUGGGAACUGCAUCCAAAACUGGUGAGCUAGAGUACGGUAGAGGGUAGUGGAAUUUCCUGUGUAGCGGUGAAAUGCGUAGAUAUAGGAAGGAACAUCAGUGGCGAAGGCGACCACCUGGACUGAUACUGACACUGAGGUGCGAAAGCGUGGGGAGCAAACAGGAUUAGAUACCCCCGUAGUCCCUGUCUCUUAUACA
rnacentral:rRNA from 1 species